UACGUAGGGGGCAAGCGUUGUCCGGAUUUAUUGGGCGUAAAGAGCGUGUAGGCGGCCAAACAGGUCCACUGUGAAAACUCGAGGCUCAACCUCGAGAGGUCGGUGGAAACCGUCUGGCUAGAGUCCGGAAGAGGAGAGUGGAAUUCCCGGUGUAGCGGUGAAAUGCGCAGAUAUCGGGAAGAACACCCGUGGCGAAGGCGGCUCUCUGGGACGGUACUGGCGCUGAGACGCGAAAGCGUGGGGAGCGAACAGG
rnacentral:rRNA from 1 species